AGCAGCCGCGGUAAUUCCAGCUCCAAUAGCAUAUAUUAAAGUUGUUGCAGUUAAAAAGCUCGUAGUUGAAUUUUAGGCUUGACCGGACGGUCCGCUUCUGCGAGUACUGUUCCGCGUUGGGUCUUACCUUCUGGUGAACCGGUAUGUUCUUAAUUGAAUGUGCUGUGGAGCCAGGACCAUUACCUUGAAAAAAUUAGAGUGUUUAAAGCGGGCUAUUGCUUGAAUAGAUUAGCAUGGAAUAAUAAAAUAGGACGUUGGUUCUAUUUUGUUGGUUUCUAGGACCACCGUA
rnacentral:rRNA from 1 species